rnacentral:rRNA from 1 species
UACGGAGGGGGCUAGCGUUAUUCGGAACUACUGGGCGUAAAGCGCACGUAGGCGGAUUGGAUAGUUGGAGGUGAAAUCCCAGGGCUCAACCUGGGAACUGCUUUCAAAACUGCUGAGCUAGAGUACGGUAGAGGGUAGUGGAAUUUCCUGUGUAGCGGUGAAAUGCGUAGAUAUAGGAAGGAACACCAGUGGCGAAGGCGACUACCUGGACUGGUACUGACACUGAGGUGCGAAAGCGUGGGGAGCAAACAGG